rnacentral:rRNA from 1 species
CCUACGGGAUGCAGCAGUGAGGAAUAUUGGUCAAUGGACGAGAGUCUGAACCAGCCAAGUAGCGUGAAGGAUGACUGCCCUAUGGGUUGUAACCUUCUUUUAUAAAGGAAUAAAACGAGGCACGUGUGCCUUUUUGCAUGUACUUUAUGAAUAAGGAUCGUCUAACUCCGUGCCAGCAGCCGCGGUAAUACGGAGGAUCCGAGCGUUAUCCGGAUUUAUUGGGUUUAAAGGGAGCGUAGAUGGGUUGUUAAGUCAGUUGUGAAAGUUUGCGGCUCAACCGUAAAAUUGCAAUUGAUACUGGCAGUCUUGAGUACAGUUGAGGUAAGCGGAAUUCGUGGUGUAGCGGUGAAAUGCUUAGAUAUCACGAAGAACCCCAAUUGCGAAGGCAGCUUACUAAACUGUGACUGACAUUGAUGCUCGAAAGUGUGGGUAUCAAACAGGAUUAGAUACCCCUGUAGUC